rnacentral:RNase_P_RNA from 1 species
GGUGGCCGCUCCCGUUCCGGUUGAUCCGGUUGCGGGGGAGGAAAGUCCGGGCUCCACGGAGACACGGUGCCGGGUAAUUCCCGGCGGGGGUGACCCCAGGGAAAGUGCCACAGAGAGCAGACCGCCCGCCGGAGCCUUCGGGCUCGCGGGCAAGGGUGAAAGGGUGCGGCAAGAGCGCACCGCGGCGGCGGCAACGUCGCCGGCAUGGCAAACCCCACCGGGAGCAAGACCAAGUAGGAACGGCAGCCCUUGCGGGCAAUCCUGUCUUCGGGACGGUCGUUCGGGUAGGUCGCGCGAGGUGUCCGGCGACGGGCAUCCCAGAUGAAUGGCCACC